rnacentral:rRNA from 1 species
UGCCAGCAGCCGCGGUAAUACGGAGGAUGCAAGCGUUAUCCGGAUUUAUUGGGUCUAAAGGGUGCGCAGGCGGUUUGUUAAGUCAGAGGUGAAAUCCCGUUGCUCAACAACGGAACUGCCUUUGAUACUGACAAACUUGAAUAUAGACGAAGUGGGCGGAAUAAGUCAUGUAGCGGUGAAAUGCAUAGAUAUGACUUAGAACACCGAUAGCGAAGGCAGCUCACUAGGCUAUUAUUGACGCUCAUGCACGAAAGCGUGGGGAGCGAACAGGAGUAGAUA